UUGUUAUGAAGCAGAGGAUUCCAUCUACUCCUUAAAAAGUAGGAUGACCCCUUUAAAGUCCUCAAAAUGGUGUUGCUGCAGGUAAUCUUUUUGCAAUCUGGAGGGUUGCCUGUAACUAUGGUUUCAGAAAUACAUCAUCUUUCAGAGAAAGCAACCUCCCUACAGUGCGGCUUUACAGCUGUGAACAGCAGCUAUGCUUUGACUGUUAAACUUUCUUAGAUAUUAUUGAUAGCCAGUGCUUCUCAAGGCAUUAAUAAAACCUGGAGACAAGAAGGAAACACUGAGGCAAAACCUUAUUUGAAUGAACCCCAAAUAAUGGAACUUAUAAAUUAUUAUGGAAACCAUUCUAUUUCUCCCUCAUUGAGAAGCAAGGGAAGAGCAAGCAAUUUGAAAUCUGAGGCCUUCAAAAGCUCCUAGCAAUAAAUGACGGAUUUCUUCUAGCAAAUAAAGGUAGCUGGGUGAUGAUGGGAACAGAACAGAACCAACCUCCUGUGCAAAUGGCUUUUAUACAAGUCGUAACUUAU
rnacentral:lncRNA from 1 species